CACACUAAAAAUUUCUAUACUAUUAUUUUGUGACAAAAUAUAGGUUUUCUUGGAAAAGUAGUGAAAUUCACAUUUUUUGAGAUUUUCAAAAACAAGAGAUUUUUGUUGCCAUUGCAACAAAAAAUGGGCGCAGAUCCCAAAAUUUUAAAAGUUUUUGUUAAACAAGUAUACUUUGGAUAGUAUCAUGCACAGCAUCAAUUAAGUAAUUAAAUCUGGUAACUGAAGAAAUUAAAUGAUC
rnacentral:lncRNA from 1 species